GAGGGUAUAGCUCAGUCAUAGAGUGCAUGCUUAGCAUGUAUGAGGUCUGGGUUCAACCCCCAGUACCUCCA
rnacentral:tRNA from 1 species